AUGGCGACCCCCACCAACCCUCAUCUCGCGCCCCCGCCGCCGGAUCGGGAUCUCGCAAUAGUUCAAGCCAUUAAGGAUUUUUAUCGCAAUUCGGGGACAAUCGAAGAGAACAUUACAUUGCUAGGCUAUGAUGAGAAGCCUAUGGAUUUCGACAACAGUGAAAUGAAGUUCUUCAAGUGCUCGUACAAAGUUGGGCCCAUCAAAUUCAACAGGUUUAUCAAGAGGGGUGCUGCAAGUUCGAAGGAUUGGGCUUCAGACUACCAUUUUGUCAGAGCUUUGGCGCGUCCUGCUGCUAUCCAAGUUGAAAAUUACGUCAAUUCAGAGUGUGUGAUCAUCUCUGAAGUGGAUGGGUCCUUCAGCAAAUGGUUGAACAAGAGGGAACCCAUAGAACUGUUCGCUGAUGGCACCAUGCUGCCCAUCCUCAGAAAUAUGAUCAUCCAACUUGCAAGUCUGGUGGAAAGUAUCCUUGCUAAGCGCAAGUAUCCCCGAGGUACCGUUGCAAAGGAAGAAUUCUCAAUGAAAGAGCUCUACAUCAAGCUGCUUCCUGAUAAGACACCUAAGCUGCAGGUGUUGAUACUUAAGGUUGAAAACAGGAUUCCAGCUCAGGUGGUGAAGACUUGGACAACUGUAAGGAAGAUUGCUACAGAGUGCUUUGAACGCCAUAAUGUCGAUCCAAACCAGGGAAGUAGAGACUUCAUCUCUUGUAUUGGGAUUCUGACAAAAAAUGUCCAAGCUCUUUUGGAGGGCCACCCGGACCAGUGGGACAAUUCGAAGAAAGGUGGUUUCUCAUGGAAUCCUACACGUACUCCCAGCAAGUGUCUGGUAGGAUCAACAAGUCUGAAUUGA
rnacentral:rRNA from 1 species